GAUGAACGCUGGCGACGUGGAUAAGGCAUGCAAGUCGAAUGGGUUUAGACCCAUGGCGAACGAGGUAGUAACGAGUAGGUACGAACCGAGAAGUCAGGGAUAAUCCGUCGAAAGACGGAAUAAUACUUGAUGGUCCCUUCGGGGUAAAGAUUUAUCGCUUCUUGAUCGGCCUGCUUAGUAUCAGCUAGUUGGUAGUGUAACGGACUACCAAGGCUAUGACGCUUAGGGGAGCUGAGAGGCUGACCCCCACCGAUGGCACUGAGGUACGGGCCAUACACCUACGGGUGGCUGCAGUCGAGAAUCUUCCGCAAUGGACGAAAGUCUGACGGAGCGACGUCGCGUGAUUGAUGAAGUCCUUCGGGAUGUAAAGAUCUUUUAUGAGGGAGAAAGUUUAUUGAUAGUACCUCAUGAAUAAGGGGUUGCUAAACUCGUGA
rnacentral:rRNA from 1 species